rnacentral:misc_RNA from 1 species
GUCGUAACAAGGUAGCCGUAGGGGAACCUGCGGCUGGAUCACCUCCUUAACGAAAGAUUGGCGAUCGGUAAGAAUCCACAACAAGUUGUUCUUCGAAGAUGUAUCUGAGGGUCUGUAGCUCAGUUGGUUAGAGCACACGCUUGAUAAGCGUGGGGUCACAAGUUCAAGUCUUGUCAGACCCACCAAAUCUGAAAGAUAUAUCGUUCAUUAAAUGAUAAGCUGGGGACUUAGCUUAGUUGGUAGAGCGCCUGCUUUGCACGCAGGAGGUCAGGAGUUCGACUCUCCUAGUCUCCACCAUGAAUUAAAUGAAAUGUUUAAUUCUGAGCUAAAUAGAUUAUAGAGUUUAAUGAAUAAAAAGAUUAAGUAAUUGAUCUUGGUUUAUUAAUCUCUGUGAUUUAUCACAGUUUACUGCAAGCUGACGAGGCUGUAGUUAAUCAUUAACAGAUUAGAAAAUUGAGUCUGAAAUAAAUUGUUCAAACUCGAUUAAAUAGGAAGAUAACAAAUAAUUGUUAAAUUAAUAUUUAAUCUGAGAACUAGCAAAAACACUGAAUCAAGCGUUUUGGUAUAUGAAUUUAGAUUGAAGCUGUAUGGUGAUUAAGUUCACAGACAACAAACUGGAUGAGAGCGAUGUAAGUUGAAAAAUGAGCAUAGCAAUCUGUCCUAACCUUACUUGUAAGGGUUGGCGACUGUUUGGGGUUGUAUAGUCAAGUAAUUAAGUGCAUGUGGUGGAUGCCUUGGC